GGAGCCGGGCGCUCGAGACGGGGCGGCGGGGGCGUUGCGCUGGCGUCGAGUUUGUUGGGCUUUGGGAAAGACGCGUGUGGUAUCUGGCGAGCGGCGUGCGGGGCUGAGUUAAGCCACGAGUUCUGCCCAGAGGCGGGCGUGGUCAUCCCUGGUCUCGGGCUGCCUGCGGCGUUUUAUCUCCUUUCUUGGCGAACUGGGAUGUCCCUGGGACUGGGAGGUUCACGGACUGUCUCGGGCACAGAAUCCAGAUGAGGCCCCAAAGUUUUUGAGAAACCAGCCCACCUGCCCACUGAGGACACGGACUCAGCCCUGGGUGCGGGAGGUGCAGAGAGAGCGGACUUCAGCAGUUCCAGGAGCCGCUGCCUGGUGAGCAGGCAGCACACAGCCCCUCCCCUGGCUCCUCAGGCUGAGCCCGAGGGUGCAGUUUUCCCAGACGCUGCCCAGGACUCCUGGUGCCUCACAAGGCUGUCUUCCUCUCCCCUUCCCCAUGGCAUCUUUGCUCCCUCUGACACGUGGGUACAACGGCAUGAGCUCUGGGAUUGCUGUACUUGCAGGUGGCUUGCACAGGGCAGUUCCCAGUAAGUAAAAAGUAAAAUUACAGGGGGGCUGGCGCUGUGGCAUAGCAGGUAAAGCUGCUGCCUGCAGUGCCAGCAUCUUAUAUGGGUGCUGGUUUGAGUCCUGGCUGCUCCUCUUCUGAUCCAGCUCUCUGCUAUGGCCUGGGAAGGCAGUAGAAGAUGGCCCAAGUGCUUGGGCCCCUGCACCCAUGUGGGAGACCCCAAAGAAGCUCCAGGCUCCUGGCUCCAGAUUGGCCCCGCUGCAGCCAUUGCAGACAUUAGGGAGUGAACCAGCGAGUGGAUGGAAGACCUCUCUCUGUGCCUCUCUAACUCUACCUUUCAAAUAAAUAAAUAAAUCUUUAAUAAAAUUACAACCAGCCUUGUUCUGCA